rnacentral:tRNA from 1 species
CAGGUUAAUCUUUUUAGUAGAAAUUUUCGUUUACAUUGAAAUUUUGACCGUGCAAUUCGGUAUAACUUGA